GAACGCUGGCGGCAGGCCUAACACAUGCAAGUCGAGCGAGACCUUCGGGUCUAGCGGCGGACGGGUUAGUAACGCGUGGGAAUGUACCCUUCACUACGGAAUAGCCUCGGGAAACUGGGAGUAAUACCGUAUACGCCCUUUUGGGGAAAGAUUUAUCGGUGAAGGAUCAGCCCGCGUCUGAUUAGAUAGUUGGUGGGGUAAUGGCCUACCAAGUCUACGAUCAGUAGCUGGUUUGAGAGGAUGAUCAGCAACACUGGGACUGAGACACGGCCCAGACUCCUACGGGAGGCAGCAGUGGGGAAUCUUAGACAAUGGGCGCAAGCCUGAUCUAGCCAUGCCGCGUGAGUGACGAAGGCCUUAGGGUCGUAAAGCUCUUU
rnacentral:rRNA from 1 species